AUGCGAUAAGUAGUGUGAAUUGCAGAAUUCAGUGAAUCAUCGAAUCUUUGAACGCACAUUGCGCCCCUUGGUAUUCCAUGGGGCAUGCCUGUUCGAGCGUCAUUUGUACCCUCAAGCUCUGCUUGGUGUUGGGUGUUUGUCCACUCCCUGGUGUUUGGACUCGCCUUAAAGCAAUUGGCAGCCAGUGUUUUGGUAUUGAAGCGCAGCACAUUUUGCGAUUCUAGCCUGAAAUACUAGCAUCCAGCAAGUCAUUUUUCACUUUUGACCUCGGAUCAGGUAGGGAUACCCGCUGAACUUAA
rnacentral:misc_RNA from 1 species